rnacentral:rRNA from 1 species
GACGAACGCUGGCGGCGUGCUUAACACAUGCAAGUCGAGCGGCGCGUCGAACGGGUGAGUAACGCGAGAGUAUCUUCCCCCCCCUCUGGGCUAACAGUUGGAAACGGCUGCUAAUACCGGAUCGUGGGGGAUGGUUGGCGUCCUAGCAGCUUUUUGGUGGGGUAUUGGCCUACCAAGGCGACGACGGGUAGCCGGCCUGAGAGGGCGACCGGCCACAGUGGGCUGGGAUGCGGCCCGAAGGGCGACGGGGGGCAGCGGUGGAGAAUAGAGCGCGAGGGGGGGAGCCCUGAUGCAGCAACGCCGCGUGCGAGAUGACGGCUUUCGGGGAGUAACCCGCGUAGAGCCAGGACGCGGUAGUGGCAGAAGAAGCAACGGCUAACUACGUGCCAGCAGCCGCGGUAAUUC